AUGCACGCUGGCGGCGUGCCUCAUCCCUGCCAGUCGCGCGAACAGACGAGGAGCUUGCUCCUCUGACGUUAGCGGCGGACGGGUGAGUAACACGUGGAUAACCUACCUAUAAAACUGGGAUAACUUCGGGAAACCGGAGCUAAUACCGGAUAAUAUAUUGAACCGCAUGGUUCAAUAGUGAAAGACGGUUUUGCUGUCACUUAUAGAUGGAUCCGCGCCGCAUUAGCUAGUUGGUAAGGUAACGGCUUACCAAGGCAACGAUGCGUAGCCGACCUGAGAGGGUGAUCGGCCACACUGGAACUGAGACACGGUCCAGACUCCUACGGGAGGCAGCAGUAGGGAAUCUUCCGCAAUGGGCGAAAGCCUGACGGAGCAACGCCGCGUGAGUGAUGAAGGUCUUCGGAUCGUAAAACUCUGUUAUUAGGGAAGAACAAAUGUGUAAGUAACUAUGCACGUCUUGACGGUACCUAAUCAGAAAGCCACGGCUAACUACGUG
rnacentral:rRNA from 1 species